UUCUGCUUUGAUCAGCUACUGGGUCAAGGCUCUAGGAAUGGUAACCAAGGAAUUGUGUACACACAGUUGUGUGUCUGAUCAUUUUCGGAUGUUUGCCCCUUUUGAAACCUUUCUCUGGGGAUUAUUAACUUCACAGAGAAGGCCUACCCUGCCCGCCCACAGAUGGACACAGGUCAAGGACCGCUAGGACUGUCACACAGAGAAACCCUGUCUCAAAAA